GUGCAGGGCAAGGAAAAAAAUUUCGACCGGUAAAUCCGGUUUACCGGAAAAUUUACCGUUACCGGUAGUGUCCGAGAAACGGAUUUCGACCCAUACGACGGUGAGGAUGAUGGUAGCUCUACCUCUGUCAGUUCCACCUACAGCUACCCGUCGGCACCCACCUUUGUGUGGCCACCACAACCACAUCCGAUGGCUGUCCCUCCGCGUCCUCUAUAUGGAUAUCCUCAUAUAUACUAUCAAGGAUACCUCCCAUAUGGAUUUCCUCACAUGUACUAUCAGAAAUAUCCCCCAGAGCAAGAUCACAGAGAUGACGAAUGAGUACCCAUGUAUGUAGGUAACACAUCUUAUUUUCUCACUUGCAUUCAUUUCGUUUGCAUCUUCUCAUCCAUUUUAUUUAUUUCAUUCUAUAGGAUUCGACGUUACAAUGUGAGUCAUCAACAAUUUCCGGUCGGUCGUAAGGUUUUCCUGUUGAAAAACACCGAAAUAAAAAUUUUAGAGUAUAUUUUGUGUUACCUAUUUGAGACUUGUAUUAUUUGAACCUAUAAAUUGUGUUAACAAGUUGAACCUAUAUUUUAUUGCAUUUGGAUUGUGGUUUGUAUUGA